rnacentral:rRNA from 1 species
UACAGAGGGGGCAAGCGUUGUUCGGAAUUACUGGGCGUAAAGGGCGCGUAGGCGGCCUGCUAAAGUCGAACGUGAAAUCCCUCGGGCUCAACCCAGGAACUGCGUCCGAUACUGGUUGGCUUGAAUUCGGGAGAGGGAUGCGGGAAUUCCAGGUGUAGCGGUGGAAAUGCGUAGAUAUCUGGAGGAACGACCGGUGGCGAAGGCGGCAUCCUCGGAGCCGAGAUUGACGCUGAUGCGCGAAAGCCGGGGAGCAAACGGG